rnacentral:misc_RNA from 1 species
UCAGAGAUGGAAUGCAAUCGACUGCAAUGGCGUGGCGUUUGAGGGAUUUCCCCAAACGAAGGAGUGAAAGUCUGGAAAUUUGAGCGUGAAAAUUGUACGAACACCAACUAAAUUGUUAUACAUUUCUCUACAAGAAUAUAAAGAUUUCAAUCCUUUGACCAAAUGAAAUUUGCCGAGGGGUUAUGUAGCGAUAUUAAGUUUUGUUCAUUGGUCCGUGACGAUUAUGUCAAAUCGUCAUUACCGGAAUCUCGCACACCAAGCGGUAAACAUAAUGAAUGAGGAACAGGAGGCCUAUGUGGAAAGUCCAAGUCUUCCAGCGAAUCUACCACCUCAGGCAGACAACAAUGCAGAACGCGGUAAUUCAGCGGCCAAUAGCGGAGAAAGUGACCAAGCGAGAGUUCCGGCAAGUGACCAAGCAAUCGCCGCCAAUGCUGAGAACUUAGAUAGGGUCGAUGGUUAUGAUGAAGUUUUUGAUCAAAACGUGAGCGCAGAUUUUGAAUGUCCCAUAUGUAUGCUGGUAUUACGUAAUCCUGUUCAAACAGGAUGUGGACAUCGCUUUUGUGGAGCGUGCAUCAAUAGACACUUGGCAAACGUUCACACUUGCCCAAUUGACAACCAACAGCUGGACCCGAGCGAGAUAAACGCUGAUAAUUUUGCUAAGAGGGAAAUAUAUAUGCUUCGUGUUAAAUGUCGGACUGUAAAGAACGAAAAGGAAUGCCCUUGGAUCGGAUGCCUGAAAGACGUUGAGGAACAUUUAAAAACUUGUCCAUUUGUGGAAGCGCCAUGUCCGAAAGGGUGUAAUCAAAAUGUAGAGAGGAAAGCGUUGGACCAUCAUUUGAAGAAGGAAUGUCCAAAACGAACAACAACCUGUACACAUUGCAAGACUGAAGUGCUCCAUAAGAACUACAAGGAUCAUUAUGGAAAGUGCCAAAAAGUAGUUGUUCCUUGUCCCAAUUGUAAACAGAAGAUGCUGCGAGAAAAGUUGGUUGCUGGACAUGAAAAGGAGUGUCCCAAAGGACAGGCUGUGUGUGAUUUUAAAUCGUAUGGAUGCAAGUGGACGGGGCAGCGAUUUAAUCUCCAAAACCAUCUAAACAACGAAAUACAGUUACAUUUGUCCAUGCUGUGCGCUGCUUUAGCCGUAUUGUUACCUCAAAACGGAAAGGAAAAGAGCAAAGGUGCUGCCAGUGGAGGUGCUAGUGCAAGUGCAAAUGGCAAUGGUACUGUGAGCGCGACCGUCUUAGAGGAGUUCAAUCGUCAACGUAACAAAAACACUGAGGCUAUUGCAACUUUGGAAGCCAAGCUGGUGGAAAUGGAGCGAAAAUAUCGUGAACUAAGAGGCCGCACUGAAAGACAACAAAGGGAUAAUGAAUCUGGCGUGACAGCUUUGAAGAAUACUGUAAUUGAUCUGGAAGCACGUAUGUGCAAUGGAGUCUACCUGUGGAGGAUAGAGGGGUAUCCAACUCAUCUAGAAAACGCUCGCGAGAAUGUUGUUACAGCAUUGCACAGCCCUCCAUUUUAUACCAGUUUCUAUGGCUACAAGUUAUGCCUCAGAAUCAACCCAAACGGAGUGGAUACUGGCUAUGGUACUCAUGUUUCUUUGUUUGUUCAUAUGAUGCAGUCACCCUGGGACGAUACUCUGGAGUGGCCCUUUUCAGGCAGGAUCUCCCUUUCCAUUCUUGACCAAAGUGAUGAUGGAGAUUACAAACGUCAUAUCAGCGAAACGUUGGUCACCAGGCCUAAUCUUUUGGCAUUUCAAAGACCAACCACUCCCCGAAAUCACAAAGGCUAUGGAUAUGUGGAGUUCGCCCAUAUCGAGACAUUGCAGGAUCGGCAAUACGUUAAAAAUGACUGUCUUCUGGUUCGCGUUCAAGUUUUUCAGUGAAUCAAGCGUUAUAAUACUUUUCAUAUAUCCGAAAAAAUACAAAAAAACUUUAACUACAAAGAUAGAAAUAAAUUUAUUUCGACGUUUUGUCCAUAUUUUAGUCAUCGCCAAGAAAUAACGCUUAAUGCUUGAAAUAAUAUAUGACAUAGAAAGUUCAGAUGUUUCGUAUACCAAUAAAAAGAUAUAUAAAUGCUAAAGUUAAACCCAAAUCUGGUAUCAUGCAGAACCAUGAAUCUUUAUUAUUACUAUUACAUUUAGUUUAUUUACAAUAUAUAACCACGCCUGUCUAACUCACAAUCUUCCUGUUUGAAGAACUCGCUGUAAACCCGCAAAUUUCACUAAACUCCAUAAUUGAUAAAUGGUCUAAUAUAUUACUACCCUACUAUUAGCACAUGCAAAUGUAUUAUGUCAAACAUGAGGCAUUAUUUCCUGACGAUGACUAAAAAUAUAUUCGGGGCGUUGAAAUAAAUUUUAAAACAAUUUCUGUCUCUGGAGUGUACUGUUCUUUUGUAUUUUAUUUAAUUACUUUGUGAUUGUAAAAUGUUCGUCCUGUCUGCGUAAAAUUGGUGAUUAUUAGAUAUAUACAUAUUACUCUGUUUCUCGCGAAGAUGAGAUUUUGUGAAAGGGCAAUACAGAAAAUGUUAUGGUCACAUUUAAAAACGUUUAAAAUCCAGAGAAUCUUGUUACAGGGUUUCCAUAUUUUGUGAUGUUUUGUCAAAAUGAAGGAUUUUGUCCAAAAAGGAUUUAGAAAUUGUCGGCUGAUUAAUUCUCAAUUCAUUACCUAACUCUCGUUUGGAGUUGAGCCUUAAACUAUACAAUCAUGAUUUGUAAACCCGUAAAAACGUUAUUGUGUUUUCUGCAUGUCUCUCGUCGAGAAUGCGGUUUAUUGCUUCGACAAAAUCGGUCAUUUUUUUAUUUCAAACAAACAAUGGUCUUGCGUUAUGUUUCCGAAUCAUAUUUACCAGUGAGUGAUAUUUAUCGCUUAAAUUUAGCUUUUUCGUUGGAGAAUCCGAAUUUGAGGUGUAAUAAUUUAGUUUGAGUAUAAUUACAAAGCCAAAGGUGACCACUGAAAAUUCUGGCUUCUGAUUGGUCGAUCGACCUCGGAUUAUUAUGCAAUAUUCACCUAACCGAAUUUUUCAAAAUGCCGGCGAGCUGUUUUUGUCAAAGGUACAGGUGAAGAAAUAAGUUAUUUUAACGAAAAUACUGUACUAAAAAGCACAAAAGAUUUGUAAGAAUUAGGCAUAAAAUUAUUUCGAGGUAAAAAACUACGUUUUCGAGUGCUUUUUAACUUUAUUUUGCGAAAAUAUUACUUUAUUUAAAUCGCCCUAAAACUGUCGAGAGGUUUGUUUACCUUUGCAAAACUUUUUUAAAAAUAUUACCUAUAAAAAUAUAUAUUAAAUAUAAAAAUAUUAUCCUCGUUAAUCUAGGACGGCGGACAAACAACUUAUUUCUUUAAAAUCCUUAAUCUGUGACAAGAUUUUCUACAUACUUGGAUUUCCAGUUGAGAAUGGAAUUGCGAAAGUUUGUCCGUAAAAUUUUCUAGUUUGAAAACAAUUGUGUGACGUCAUCAAUAAUGUUACUUGGUGACGAUCACCAAGUUGUGAAAGAAAAACUGUCAUCUCUGUCAAGUUUGUGACUGUAAAUAGAAGACGUGAAUAGCGAUGAAUAGCCGCUAUUUCUACUGUAGUUUUUCCUUUAACAACUUGGUGAGCCUCACGUAGUAACAUUAUUCGAUGACGUCAGAAGCAUUGUUUUCAAACUAAAAAAUUUAAAGAGCAAGCUUUCGCAAUUCCAGGACAACUCAACUGGAAAUCGCAGUAAUAUCAAACGUUCUUCAAAGUGAGUUCGCUCCGAAAAGUCAUGUUGUCUAGUAAACAGUAGUUUUUUUAAGGGAUUUUCUUAUCAUUCACUUCGUAACAUUCUAAAUUUUUAUUGGUUGAUUUACUAGCAAAUAACUGCGUGCAAAUGAUAAUAGUUAAAAUGUUCGAAAUAAGAUCUACAAAAAUUUAUGACCGUCAACACAACUUUUUUGUGUUUUUUGGCGCGUUUACUUGGCUUUAUUAAUUACAUUUGACUUUAAACGUUACGUUACAAUUGUAUUUCAAAUGUGAUAAACAUGCUGUAUAAACCAUAAAAAUAAUACACAUAGAAUGCGCGCUGAUACCUCUUCCCUAAUAAAAAUUUGUCUCCAAAUAAAAGUUUUUUUGAAUGAUUUCAAAAUGGCGCAUUAAUAAGAGUACAGCAUGAAAAAAUUUGGGACACGUAUUCGUGAUAAGUACGCAUUCUGUUAUUAUUUCUAUGGUAUAAACCCAGUAAACGCACCAAAACAGUACAAAAAACGUUGUGUUAGUAUAGGUAAUAGUAUAAUUUCGAGUGCAAUUACGGAUUAAAAAGCACGAGUGAGUUUAAGGCUGCAAAAUAGCGCAAGUUUCGAAAGGCGAGCGUUAUUUGCAGUCUUUAAAAAAUCACGAGUGCGUGUUUAUCCGUAAUUGCACGAGAGAAAUUAUAGUAUUACGUAUUAAUGAUAUGCAAGGAAAUCUUUGAGAAUAUAUUUGUAACAGGAUUUUGCACUGUUGUUACAGUAAUUUGCACUGUUACACAUUUUUGCACUAAUGUUUGAGAUUAACUGCACUGAAAUCAACCAAUCAGGGUCGAGAAACAUUUCCUUGUAUAUUAUUAGACGUGAUAAUUGUUUAUACGUCACGUUUAUAACAAUUUCGAUUUCAAAGUCAACGUGUAAGAAUUAAUUAUUACAUUUUUUAAAGGUAAAGAAACGCGUGAAAAAAGUUCACGCGUCAUGCUCGAAUGUAAGUAUUGAACUCGCUUUUUGUAAAAUAUUGUUAUUUGCUAAUGUCUCGCAAAUCUGCUCACCAUCGACAUCGACAAAUGACGAUAUUUUGCUCGACCUCGUCCAACAAGUGAUUAUUAGUUGCCAUAAACCGACGCUGACUAAUUCUGAUUUGGGUUUCCUCGUUUGUAAAAAGAAUAUUGAAGAUGACAAGAAUAGAGGGUGCAAAACUUGUUGUUGUCCGGUGUACACGACGCUCGUGGAAGGACGACAACUGCAUGUUUUCUCUAUGCUCCCAAAGAUUGAAUUAUAAAGAUCAAGAUGUGGUUUCGAAAUCCUCUCCGCCACCGAACUUGGAAGAACUUUGCCACCCAGGGUGUGACCUCGCGUAACCUCAACUUUACCCGCAUAUAUAUUCUAUAUUAUUAUAAUUAUAAAUGUUGCGUGAUGUUAUGUGCUGUGGAAUGUUAGGUGUGUCGUCCAAUGUCAAAAGUUACGAAAUAAGAUUGAUUAUUAUGUUGAAGGAAUUAAUUAGGUAUAUAAAAAUUGAUGUAAACUGGGUGUAGCAGUUAGUGUUGGCUAUAGAUUGAGAAGGAUAAAAGUUGUAAUAUUGAUUGUAUAAUAAAGUUGUUAAAAAAUGUCA